GCCUCAUGGAUCACUGGCAGAGCGUCUGCUUUCCAUGCAGAAGGCUCUAGGUUUAAUUUCUAGCAUCUCCC